UACGUAGGGGGCAAGCGUUGUCCGGAAUCAUUGGGCGUAAAGCGCGUGUAGGCGGCUGAGUAAGUCUGCUCUGAAAGCCCGGGGCUCAACCCCGGGAGGCGGGUGGGAUACUGCUCAGCUCGAGUCCGGAAGAGGAGUGUGGAAUUCCUGGUGUAGCGGUGAAAUGCGCAGAUAUCAGGGAGGAACACCAAUGGCGAAAGGCAGCACUCUGGGACGGUA
rnacentral:rRNA from 1 species